rnacentral:rRNA from 1 species
AGAGUUUGAUCCUGGCUCAGGAUGAACGCUGGCGGCAUGCCUAAUACAUGCAAGUCGAACGAGAGGAAGGAAAGCUUGCUUUCCUGAAUCUAGUGGCGAACGGGUGAGUAACACGUAGGUAACCUGCCCAUGUGCCCGGGAUAACUUCUGGAAACGGAUGCUAAAACCGGAUAGGUAGCAGACAAGCAUUUGACUGCUAUUAAAGUGGCCUUGGCCAUGAACAUGGAUGGACCUGCGGUGCAUUAGCUGGUUGGUGAGGUAACGGCCCACCAAGGCGACGAUGCAUAGCCGGCCUGAGAGGGCGGACGGCCACAUUGGGACUGAGACACGGCCCAAACUCCUACGGGAGGCAGCAGUAGGGAAUUUUCGUCAAUGGGGGGAACCCUGAACGAGCAAUGCCGCGUGAGUGAGGAAGGUCUUCGGAUUGUAAAGCUCUGUUGUAAGAGAAAAACGGCACUCAUAGGGAAUGAUGAGUGAGUGAUGGUAUCUUACCAGAAAGUCACGGCUAACUACGUGCCAGCAGCCGCGGUAAUACGUAGGUGGCGAGCGUUAUCCGGAAUGAUUGGGCGUAAAGGGUGCGUAGGUGGCAGAUCAAGUCUGGAGUAAAAGGUAUGGGCUCAACCCGUACUGGCUCUGGAAACUGAUCAGCUAGAGAACAGAAGAGGACGGCGGAACUCCAUGUGUAGCGGUAAAAUGCGUAGAUAUAUGGAAGAACACCGGUGGCGAAGGCGGCCGUCUGGUCUGGAUUCUGACACUGAAGCACGAAAGCGUGGGGAGCAAAUAGGAUUAGAUACCCUAGUAGUCCACGCCGUAAACGAUGAGAACUAGGUGUUGGGGGAAUAACUCAGUGCCGCAGUUAACGCAGUAAGUUCUCCGCCUGGGGAGUAUGCACGCAAGUGUGAAACUCAAAGGAAUUGACGGGGGCCCGCACAAGCGGUGGAGUAUGUGGUUUAAUUCGAAGCAACGCGAAGAACCUUACCAGGCCUUGACAUCCCUUGCAGAGGUAUAGAGAUAUAUCCGAGGUUAUCAAGGAGACAGGUGGUGCAUGGUUGUCGUCAGCUCGUGUCGUGAGAUGUUGGGUUAAGU